rnacentral:lncRNA from 13 species
AGAGAGAGAGAGAGAGAGAAGAGAGAGAGAGAGAGAGAGAUUUCGUAGCGGACACUCAGGACGCUAUCGAUGACGCGAGUGUUCAGGAAAUGCUAACGAUGACGCGGAUUCUCGGGAGACGCCACCGACGAACGUCGCGGACGGUGGUUCGGAGGUCCGCCGCUCGCUCGUUCGCUCGCUCUAUCUGCACUCGCCUGCACUUUCUCUCACGCACGAGGCGUCCGUAAAGCCCGUAUCAAACCAGAGUUCUUAUUUCCUAUAAUAAGAGUUACAACGAACCUGCUGCACACUGUUAAUCGGUAGAACUUAAUGUAAUGUAACGGAAGCAAAUUUCAAGCAGGUACAUUCAAAAACAUUUAAUGUACGUUUAAUAUACAUGUAAUGUAAAUUUAAUGUUAUCAAAAGUUCACUAAUUUCAUGCACAUGAUUUUCAGUUAGCGAUACAUUAAAUUUAAUUGUGUAAAACAUGCCGCAAACGAUGCGUUCUUCCUUACUAGAGUGCUCCUAUGCUGGCAGGCUUGCUGGAUUUUCGUAAUAGAUCAGUUGUUCAGCCUACACGAAAACUCGCACCUCAUGAAGCCAGCAGUACUGCUGCCGAUACGGUAGCAAGCUAGAAAUCCAGCAAGGAAAAACGCAUCGUCUGCGACAGGCUUAACUUAAAAGUACAUUAAAUUUUAUGAUAUUUUUAACAGUGUAUACAGUCAGAUUAAUGUUCAAAUUGAUUUAAUAACAACGUUUUUAUCAUAUUUAGGUACUGCUGUAAACAAUGUAGAAAAUAGAAUUGUAUAACAUUUAAUAUAAUUAACAUACUGGUAUUAAUUUCAAUAUACAAUGCCAACCAUUAUACAAAAUAUAAGACUAAAUAAUAUUUAGGUUGUACACUGUUGUACUAACUAUGGUUUUGUUUGUUAAAUUUUAUAUUUAAAAUUCGCGGUAACUCGACUGUUAUACAGCAAAUAUAGUCAAAGAUAACCAAUCAAAAAUUGUUAUCGCAUUGACUUAACUUUCAUUAUAGAAAUUCUAGUCUACGAAGCCUGUAAAAAGUUUUUAUAAUAAGAGUUAAAACAAACUGCCGUCAUAUAUAGUCAAAUCAACUUUAAAAUUACAUUAAUUUUAUCAUGUUUAGCUUGGUACCACUGUAACCGAAGUAAAAAAAUAAAAAUGUAUAUCAAUAUCAAUUAACAAAUAAUAUACGGGCAUUAAUUUAAAUAUGCAUAUACAAUUGUUUUGACAAAAGUUUAUAAUUCUUAUAAUUGAAAUCUGUAUCUGUAUAAUUAGCACUAUAAUCGUAUUUUGAUGAUCUUUAAUGUAGUUAUUUCAGUCUCAUUGAACCUAAAAUAUUCUCUGUAUAUAAUUUUAAGUCAAACCGAUCUCGAUUCUCGAUCUUCUCUUUGUCUCCUUUUUUAUAGACUUCGCUUUUGUUUACGACUCAUAAAUCUUAACAUGUAUCCACAUAUUCAAAAACUUCAACAUUGUGCCCUCUCUGUACCAAGUCUUAAAUCGUUCAUUGCUGCCUGUAAAAACGGCAGUCGUCUUUAACUCGUUGAAAUAAAUAAAUUGAGAUUCACGA